rnacentral:rRNA from 1 species
GACGAACGCUGGCGGCGCGCUUAACACAUGCAAGUCGAGCGAGAACCAGGGCUUCGGCCCUGGGGACAGCGGCGAACGGGUGAGUAACACGUGGGUAAUCCACCCUCGGCACCGGAAUAGCCCGGGGAAACCCGGAUUAAUACCGAAUAACGCGUGACCUGCCAAGUGGGUCACGCCAAAUGGUAGCCUCGGCCUCUGCUCUGGGAUGGGCCCGCGCCGGAUUAGCUUGUUGGUGGGGUAACGGCCUACCAAGGCGACGAUCCGUAGCUGGUCUGAGAGGACGAUCAGCCACACUGGGACUGAGACACGGCCCAGACUCCUACGGGAGGCAGCAGUGGGGAAUCUUGCGCAAUGGGCGAAGGCCUGACGCAGCAACGCCGCGUGAGCGAAGACGGCCUUCGGGUUGUAAAGCUCUGUCAGGAGGGACGAAGCCACUCGGGUGAAUAGCCCAGAGGGUGACGGUACCUCCAGAGGAAGCCCCGGCUAACUACGUGCCAGCCGCCGCGGUAA